GACGAACGCUGGCGGCGCGCCUAACACAUGCCAGUCGAACGGAGCUGCGAGAAGCUUGCUUUUCUUAGCUUAGUGGCGAACGGGUGAGUAACGCGUGAGUAACCUGCCCUGGAGUGGGGGACAACAGUUGGAAACGACUGCUAAUACCGCAUAAGCCCACGAUCCGGCAUCGGAUUGAGGGAAAAGGAUUUAUUCGCUUCAGGAUGGACUCGCGUCCAAUUAGCUAGUUGGUGAGGUAACGGCCCACCAAGGCGACGAUUGGUAGCCGGACUGAGAGGUUGAACGGCCACAUUGGGAAUGAGACACGGCCCAGACUCCUACGGGAGGAAGCAGUGGGGGAUAUUGCACAAUGGGGGAAACCCUGAUGCAGCGACGCCGCGUGGAGGAAGAAGGUUUUCGGAUUGUAAACUCCUGUCGUUAGGGACGAUAAUGACGGUACCUAACAAGAAAGCACCGGCUAACUACGUG
rnacentral:rRNA from 1 species